CACCGCUGAAACACACAAAUCGUUAACGACAGAUUCGCUUCCUUCUACCAUUCUUAUCUCGAGCAAAUAUUUCACGAGAUUUUUAUAAAAAGUUACAGUUUUAAAAAGAGUUCACUGCCUAAUUCUAUUUUCCUUUAUUGGAUUCGAAGAUUUAAUCUCGUUUUAAAUUCCACGGAAGAAAGUCAUAAACAACUACCUAGGCAUUCACAUCAUUCCGAUCGUAAAACUUGGUCGCACUAAAGGGAAAAAUUCCACUUCCUAUACGUGAGCAACUUAUUUUGUUUUAUAAAAUAUGUCUUCGUCAAUAUUUUAUUUUAUAGUAAUAAAUGUAGUAAAUAAUUUUAUAAUA